rnacentral:lncRNA from 1 species
GCAAGGACAGACAUACAAGUUCAAGAAAUUUGUAAGCAGGAAGAAAAAAGAACCGUGGAUUAAGUGAGGGGAGGAGGCUUUUAUUUUCUUGUUUUGUCUUGUGGUUUUUAGGGAGUGGAUGCAAACACAGAUGGGAAGGUAAGCUUCAACAGGACACUGCCAGGAAGAAGCAUGAAGAAAGAGAUAAACCCAGAGGCGGAAUGAACCCUUUGGCAGUGGAGAUAUCUGACCAUGGAGAUGCUUCUGAAUGUCACCCACCAAGAAGCUGUGAGCUGGAUGCUCCACAGAUAUGAUAUACAGAGCCUUCCCUGCUGGCCUUUUUCCUUCCAUCUGGAGAUCAGCCCGGGUCCAUAGGUAAAUCACAUCUUCCUACCUAAUAAUGACCAACUGCUAAAACCCAGAGCCUAACAUGAAGACAGCCAGCAAAGAAGAAAUGUGGUUUGCAGCGUUCCAGCCCCAGCAUCACAGAGCAGAGUGUAAAAAGGUAUUCCUGAUGACGGUGAACUGUAAGGAGGGGAGCCUGCUUGGCUUGUGAACUUUUACUUAAUACCGCUCUUCAAAUACAGUGCUUCUGCUCUGCCCUCUGCCAUACUGAGUCCCCAAUUCCCUGGCCUCUUCAGUCAGCCUCUGCAGAGAAGACAUUCGCCCCAGUGCCCUGGCAGAGCAGACAAUCACCUGGCUGCGUAGAGUGAGGAAGGAGCUGUAGAAGCCUAAGCGUCUCAUGCCAUUCUCGUUUGGAGUCACAUCCUGAACCGCUUCCCAGUUCUACCACCUAUGGCCCUGAAGUAUCACGUAGGGAACUCAACUUCUCCCUCUGAGCUUGGAAGACCUUUGAAACACAUAGGAUGUCCAGGGCCCUCUUGGCCCUGGGAUUCUAUGAUCCAUGAACCUUCAGAAGCUAGAGAGCUCUGCCUAGGUAGUAACAUAGACAGGAAGAUACAGGAGGUGAAGAAGGGCAAGGUGACAGUGGGAUAGAGUGGCAGGAGACUUCAAAGAAAAGGUGGGAUGAGAGCAGGACAAGAGCCAGUUGGAGGAAUAGGAGAGGGAACGCCUCCUCAGGUGUCCAAUACUGGGGCAGGAUCGUCACAGCAUGCUGGGGGCUGGUAGGCAAAGGGUUCUAGAAUAAUAAAGUGGAAGAGUAAACUUCAAUUAGAAUGUGGAGAACUUGAAUUUCUUUUUUACAUUAGCAAACCCCACAAUCAAAGUCGUCUAGAGAUUUGUUUUCAGUGCCAGAGACCCUACCCCAGACUUUAAAUCAGAAUAUCAGAGAAGAGCCCAGGAACCUAUAUGCCUUUAAACUUUCCACGUGAGUCCAAUAAACUGGCAAGUUUUGGAACCACUUCCUUAGGCAAUGGAGAACCAUGGAUGGUUUGUAAUCAGGAUGCAUGAUAGAAGUGGAAAUUCUAGAAAGAUGAAUUUGACAGGCAUACGCAAGGUGGACUGGAGGUUGAAGGACAUGUGACAGGGAUUCAAGGGAGGAAAUUUCAAUACUUCACAAAGAUGGUCAUGAGAGUCUAUAGGAGGUAAGUGGUCAGGGAAAAGAAAGAAGAGACUAUACCAAUCCUUCUUUCAUGGAUUGAAUUAUGUAUCCCCCAAAAAUUCAUAGGUUGAAUUCCUAACCCUUAGUACCUCGGAAUGUAACCUUAUUGGGAAAUAGAGUCACUGCAGAUGUAAUUAGUUAGGUUAGAUGCGGUCAUAGGGUGGACUCUAAUCUAAUAGAAGGGGGAACUUUGGACACACCAGCAUGGACAGCCAUAGAGGGAAGACGAUGAAAAGCAAAGUAGGGAGAAAUGGUUAUCUAUCUACAAGCCAAGGAGAGACGCCUGGAACAGAUCCUUCCCUCAAAGCUAACAGGAGGAACCAGUCCUGUUGACACCUUGAUCUCUGUCUUCUGGCCUCCAAAACUGUAAGUCAGUAAACUGCUAAUCACCAGGUCUGUGGUACUUUGUUAUGGCAGCCAUAGGAAACUAAUACACUGUCUUUUUGGAAACACAUUCCUGCCUUCAACUACCUCUUCCUCACUUUCUCUUGAGGAAUGAUUUCUCAAAGCCACCCACCUGAGAGGGCUGGAAGCAGUGGUUACAGAAUGAAGCAUGUGUUUCUAACAUUAUAGGAUGCCUUUUUACUGGAGGAGUGAGUGUGGGGUAGCUUUUUGGAGUCCUUGGCCAGUUUGCUCCCAGAACCUACCUGAGAUAUCAAAGAACUGACUUGUGAUUGGACCUUGCUGAAUAGAAAAGAUGUUAUCUCUAGGAGAAGCAAUUCACAUUCUCCCCACCUGAGAAAGGAAUUGGUGCCAAGAAUAUCAGACAGUGGGUAAACCCCCAGAGGAGAAGGGAGACUCAUUUCUUUGGAGCCACUACCGUCCCACUGGUGGCUCAUCCAGAUGUUAGAGCUGCAAGAGGAGGAACAAUCUACAAAAAAAGGCACAGCAUGUACCACUUCACCAACUACUCAGUCAAUAUGCAUCUCACCCCUGCCCCCAGCUGUGAAGAUAGAGGCUACAAACAACGAGAGAAUGACACUGGGGUAUCUCACAGCAUCAAAUGAAUAACUGAAGAAUUAAGCCUCAAGAAAGCAGGAACCAGGAAUUCUCCAGAGACCUCAAGCACAAGAACCAGGAACUGAAACACCAUUAGAACUGUCUCUUCACCUUCCUUCUGUCCUUUGUUCUGCAUGUUACCUUCACUUUCUUUUACUAAAGAAAGUUAAGAACAUGGUCUCUGGAACCAGUGCCUGAGAUUUGAAUCCUAGCUCUGCUCUUCCAACUGAAUGACCUUGAGCAAGUUACUUACCCUCUCUGUGCCUCAGUUUUUUUAUGGAGAUAACACUAGUGCCUACUUUGUAUGAUUGCUUGAGGAAUAAAUGAUUUUUCUAAAGCACUUGGAAGAAUCCCUCCCACACCCCCAGGCUCUGCCUUAUCUAAGAGAAGAGUUUGGACAACAAGAGUAUUAAUCAGCAAUCUAGCCUGCGAGGCUGAAGAUAAUAAACUGAGGUCCCAUUCAGGCCAAUGGUUGGAUCCAAUGCCAUGGAUGGGGUAGGGGGCAGCAGGAGCCAUGGUGCUACUCAGGGUCAGGCAGGAGACAUAUCAUUUAGUGAGGAGCAGGGGAACCUAUUCCCACAUGUGGCAUUUAUUCUCAGACCCUUACUCUACCAUUGCUCCCUUUACUGGCAACAGAUGACCUCAUCUACUACGUCAAGGCAAAACUAGACAUCUUGCCCUCUACCCUACCCCUACAUUCUUUCAGAGAUGUCUGCUCUGAAGCCCAUCCACAUUGCCUUUCCUCCCCCUCUGUGAAUUAUCUGUCCUUUCUGCAGAUUAUUUAAGAAUAAUUCCCUCCACUGUCCUUUCAUGCCCCCAACGCUCUUCCUCAAGACCAUGUCAGCCGUGGUGUUCUUCCCAUUCUCCGCAUAUCUUCCACCCACUCUCCUCAUAUCUUCCACCUCAUCCUCCUCCUGGCUCUUUCCAUUAGCAUUGAAACAAGCUCGGGUCUCUCCCACCCUAAUCACAAAUGGCACUCCUUUGACUCCCCUUCCCAGCUAGCAGCUCAAAAAGUUGUCUUCACUCCCUGCCUCCACUUCUGCCCUCCCAUUCUCUCCUCAGCCCUAUGUUCUCUAGUUCUCAUUCUCACUUCUUCUGAGAAGCUGACAAAUGCCUGGGCCUCUGCUAUAUUAGACAUCACUGCUAUCCCUAUUUUGAACACCCUCCUCCCUGAGUUUCUAUGGUAACACUCUCUUGGUCAUUCCCCUGCCUCUCCAACCGCUCCUUCUCCAUGUCUCUUGUAUGCUCCUCCAUCUUCCUCCACCUACCCUUGAACAAUCUAUCUUCCCCCAGGUUCCAUCCUCUCUUAAUCUUACAGUUUCCAUAGGUGACCUCAACUACCUUCAACCACCCCCAACAUGAGCUAAUGAUUCUCAAAUCUAUAUCCAUUAUCUUAGUCCUCCCUCUGAAUGUCAGAUUAUUUAUCCAACAGCCUAUGUGGCAUCUUCACUUGGAGGUCCCCCUGAGGCAUUGCAAACUCAGCAUGUGGGUGUAGGGGAUAGUUCCUGAAGCCAUGUCAUGUGGAGAAUGGCUGAAAACCUAGGAGGUAUCUGAUCCACAGAGGUGACUCAGAUGGAUUAUGGUAGUAAAGUGGGCCAUAGUCUGGGUCAGCUGGGAAAGGUGCUGGAGAUAUUCUGUGUGUACCCCAAGGGGUGACAUGAGGACUAAUGAUUGGAAAAUUGGAAAAGACAGAUUUCAGCUGAACCUAAAGAAGACCCUUUGGAAGUCAGAGUAGCUCAAAGGUAAACUUGGGUACCUUGUAAGUUACCUCAGUUAUUGACAGCAUUCAAGCACCAGGCUUUAAACUCCCUCAAUAAGACAGGGCACAGUGGUUCACACCUGUAGUCCCAACACUUUGGGGAGGCCAAGGCGAGAGGAUCACAUGAGGCCAGGAGUUUGGGACUAGGCUGGGCAACAUGGUGAGACACCGUCUCUACAAAAAGAAAAAAAAGAAAAAAAAAAUUCCCUCAAACUUCAGGAGUCUGUGAUUCUGUAAGAAAGCAAAAUGGAGCUUAUGCAGAUUUGACCAAAUACCAUGAAACCUGGUACUACUGCUGCUUAUUAAUUGGGCAUUGGUUUGCUGUUGGGGGCCCUGACCCUCUGAAGUGGAAAUAACAACAGGGAUGUUUUAGGAUACCUGAGAGAAGAGAAGAAAUUGAAUACGUUCUCAAGUGGGAAGGACUGAUAGUCAAAGGAAAACUCACCAUGGCAUGACUUUCUUGGAGGUAUUUGUACUUAGUUAUAUUUGUAAGGAACCUCUCAGUGGAUAUGGAUUUGGCAUGACUCGUAUUGCAGUAGGGCCUUUGUGCUAAGGUUCUGUUUCAACAAACCUAACGAGAUAUCCUUUGAGGCAGGGCCCCCUGAAUCUGGGUGGAGUAAAAUGGCCUGACAACCAGGCUGGGAAGGACUUUUGUGACUGAGUUUACAGAUACCUCUGCCUUCUAAGCAGAGGACAGAAGACAAGAAUUGCUGUCUGGAAAAGGAUAGCUCCCACUUACAGCCAGCUCCAUGAACAUCUAUAAGACAAUGUACCCCAACUCUAUGACAGCUCCAUCCCAUCCCAUCCCAUAAUAUGUAUCAUACUUAUAUUUUCUUGCUUAUGUGGCUCCUACAACCUCUGCUUCCUUUCUCCCCAUUUAAAACCUUCUUAUGAACAGAUUUCUCUGACUUGCAUCUAGCUUUUUCAUACCUGGAUUUUCCAGCUUUGUCUAGUCCCUUUGAAUUCAUGAUUUAACUGGAUUAUUUCCCAUAGCAUCACUCUUAGACCUAGGACCUAUGUUUUAGAGGGUUCUUCUUUGGGGAAAUCUAUGGUCCCUAAGGGAUGUGCCCAUCUGGAGUCCAAACUUCCUUCUGGGCCAUCUUGCAGGUACCUGGGACCCUGGAAUUUCCUAUCCAAACAGUCCUGAUCCUGAUUCCAGGGCCUGGACAAGCAUCUUCUCUGGGUCUGGAGAGGGGACCUUGCUGCCUGUGAGUGAACUCCCAGGCCUGAGGGGUGGCUGAGGCCAGUGCACAGGGCUUUUUGAGAUGCAAGAUGGAGCCAGGGCCAGGAAGAGAAGGGGGAAGACUGGGGGCUGGGAUCCUCUGUUUGUACUGCUGCCCUGGCCCUGCUAAUCCUAGAGGUUCCAGGUACGAAGAUGAAUGAGGUCCAGCCCCUGGCCCAAAGGAACAUCAAGAACACAAGUAAACUAGGGAUCAAAGUUGAACUAAAGAUUGUUUCUUUCUUCUAUCUAAAGCCUGGAGCCUGGAGAGGCCUUCAAUGUGCUGCUCUCUACUCCCUCUGAAUGAUCUGCACCUCCCCAGCAGGAGGCAACCCCACCUCAAAGUGUUGCCCUCUCAAAAUGCUCUCCAGUUCAUCAAGACCCCAAUCUUACAACUGGGGCUCAUCUCAGAAGAGAAGAGGGUAGUAAGAGGGUGCUAUCUCUUCCCUCUGUGCCUCAGCUUCUUCAUCUGUCAAGCGGAAGUCAUAUCUGCCCCCUCACUUCUCCAGGAUUACUUUGAGGAUAAAAUUAGAAUUGAU